AGCUCCAAUAGCGUAUAUUAAAGUUGUUGCGGUUAAAAGCUCGUAGUUGGAUUUCUGUCGAAGGCGGGUGGUCUGCAUUUUGUGCAUGUAUCAAUCUGGCUUUGGCAUCUUGUCAGACUCGCGUCUGCGAUUCAGUUCGUGGUGCGAAUUUGACACUUUUACUUUGAGGAAAUUAGAGUGCUCACGGCAGGCAAACGCCUUGAAUACAUUAGCAUGGAAUAAUAAUAUAGGGCCUCGGGUCUAUUUUGUUGGUUUCUAGAGCCGAGGUAAUGAUUAAUAGGGACAAUUGGGGGCAUUCGUAUUAACACGUCAGAGGUGGAAUUCUUGGAUUGUGUUACGACGAACUACUGCGAAAGCAUUUGCCAAGGAUGUUUUCAUUGGUCAAGACGAAAGUUAGGACAG
rnacentral:rRNA from 1 species